rnacentral:lncRNA from 1 species
AAGAGGUAGGAGCGGUGAUGAUGGCGGCUGUGGAGGGUGGCUCCUGGUGUCUCAGGUACCUUAGCUAAUUUCUCUGUAGCAUUGGUUUAAAAUUUAAUGUUUGUUUUUUCCCCCAACAUUUAAUUUGUAGAUAUUCAGAUUUCACACACUAAUUGUCCCAAAUGUAUUUUUAUAUUUGUUUCUUUUAUUUUACAGUUGAGGGCCCUGUUUAGGUCUAUACGAUAUAUUUAAUCAUUACGUCUCUGUGAUCUCUCUUAAUCUAGAGCACUCUCUCUGCCCUUUUAAGAGAAAAAGCCAGAGCCAUUGAAACUAGAGGCACAGAACAUCAGGACACAGGACAUCUGGAGGAACAAGGAACUGGGAGAAGUGGCAGAUUGGGAGAAGGCAAAUAAAAAGGUCAAAUGAUGAAGCUCACAAUCUGCUUUUGGCCCAGGAGAUAAUGCCCUUAUCUAAAGGCUAAACGUUUUCUUGGGAUGAAUGGAUCAGUCCUGAGUCCAAAAUUCCAUGACUGCCUUAGAAGAUAG